rnacentral:rRNA from 1 species
CGAAGGUUAAGCGACUAAGCGUACACGGUGGAUGCCCUGGCAGUCAGAGGCGAUGAAGGACGUGCUAAUCUGCGAUAAGCGUCGGUAAGGUGAUAUGAACCGUUAUAACCGGCGAUUUCCGAAUGGGGAAACCCAGUGUGAUUCGUCACACUAUCAUUAACUGAAUCCAUAGGUUAAUGAGGCGAACCGGGGGAACUGAAACAUCUAAGUACCCCGAGGAAAAGAAAUCAACCGAGAUUCCCCCAGUAGCGGCGAGCG